AACCCGUAGAUCCGAUCUUGUGGUGAUAGUCCACACAAGCUUGUGUCUAUAGGUAUG
rnacentral:ncRNA from 3 species